UACAGAGGCCCCAAGCGUUACUGAGAAUCACUGGGUUUAAAGGGUGCGUAGGUGGUCCGUUAAGUUCGUUGUGAAAUCCCUGGGCUCAACCCAGGAAAUGCUUCGAAUACUGGCGGACUUGAGGCUAGUAGGGGUCACUGGAACUGACGGUGGAGCGGUGAAAUGCGUAGAUAUCGUCAGGAACGCCAAUGGUGAAGACAGGUGACUGGGCUAGUUCUGACACUGGAGG
rnacentral:rRNA from 1 species